rnacentral:rRNA from 1 species
AUUGAACGCUGGCGGCAGGCCUAACACAUGCAAGUCGAGCGGUAGCACAGAGAGCUUGCUCUCGGGUGACGAGCGGCGGACGGGUGAGUAAUGUCUGGGAAACUGCCUGAUGGAGGGGGAUAACUACUGGAAACGGUAGCUAAUACCGCAUAACGUCGCAAGACCAAAGUGGGGGACCUUCGGGCCUCAUGCCAUCAGAUGUGCCCAGAUGGGAUUAGCUAGUAGGUGGGGUAACGGCUCACCUAGGCGACGAUCCCUAGCUGGUCUGAGAGGAUGACCAGCCACACUGGAACUGAGACACGGUCCAGACUCCUACGGGAGGCAGCAGUGGGGAAUAUUGCACAAUGGGCGCAAGCCUGAUGCAGCCAUGCCGCGUGUGUGAAGAAGGCCUUCGGGCUGUAAAGCACUUUCAGCGGGGAAGAAGGCGGUGAGGUUAAUAACCUUGUCGAUUGACGUUACCCGCAGAAGAAGCACCGGCUAACUCCGUGCCAGCAGCCGCGGUAAUACGGAGGGUGCAAGCGUUAAUCGGAAUUACUGGGCGUAAAGCGCACGCAGGCGGUCUGUCAAGUCGGAUGUGAAAUCCCCGGGCUCAACCUGGGAACUGCAUUCGAAACUGGCAGGCUAGAGUCUUGUAGAGGGGGGUAGAAUUCCAGGUGUAGCGGUGAAAUGCGUAGAGAUCUGGAGGAAUACCGGUGGCGAAGGCGGCCCCCUGGACAAAGACUGACGCUCAGGUGCGAAAGCGUGGGGAGCAAACAGGAUUAGAUACCCUGGUAGUCCACGCCGUAAACGAUGUCGAUUUGGAGGUUGUGCCCUUGAGGCGUGGCUUCCGGAGCUAACGCGUUAAAUCGACCGCCUGGGGAGUACGGCCGCAAGGUUAAAACUCAAAUGAAUUGACGGGGGCCCGCACAAGCGGUGGAGCAUGUGGUUUAAUUCGAUGCAACGCGAAGAACCUUACCUGGUCUUGACAUCCACAGAACUUUCCAGAGGUGGAUUGGUGCCUUCGGGAACUGUGAGACAGGUGCUGCAUGGCUGUCGUCAGCUCGUGAUGUGAAAUGUUGGGUUAAGUCCCGCAACGAGCGCAACCCUUAUCCUUUGUUGCCAGCGGUUAGGCCGGGAACUCAAAGGAGACUGCCAGUGAUAAACUGGAGGAAGGUGGGGAUGACGUCAAGUCAUCAUGGCCCUUACGACCAGGGCUACACACGUGCUACAAUGGCAUAUACAAAGAGAAGCGACCUCGCGAGAGCAAGCGGACCUCAUAAAGUAUGUCGUAGUCCGGAUUGGAGUCUGCAACUCGACUCCAUGAAGUCGGAAUCGCUAGUAAUCGUAGAUCAGAAUGCUACGGUGAAUACGUUCCCGGGCCU